GCAGGGUGAAGGUGCAGUAACAUGCACUGGAGGCCCGAACCGUUGAGCGUUGAAAAGCUCUCGGAUGACCUGUGCCUAGGGGUGAAAGGCCAAUCAAACUUGCUGAUAGCUGGUUCUCCUCGAAAUCUAUUUAGGUAGAGCGUCAUCCGAAUACCCCGGGGGGUAGAGCACUGGAUGGGUAAUGGGGCCCCACAGGCUUACUGAUCCUAACCAAACUCCGAAUACCCGGGAGUACUAGAUGGCAGACACACUGCGGAUGCUAACGUCCGUAGUGGAGAGGGAAACAACCCUGACCUACAGCUAAGGCCCCCAAUUCAUGGCUAAGUGGGAAAGCAGGUGGGACGACCAAAACAACCAGGAGGUUGGCUUAGAAGCAGCCAUCCUUUAAAGAAAGCGUAACAGCUCACUGAUCAAGCGCCUCUGCGCGGAAAAUGUAUCGGGACUAAAGUUAUUCGCCGAAAUUGCGGACUCGAAAGAGUGGUAGCGGAG
rnacentral:rRNA from 1 species